AGAAAUUAGUUAAAAAAUAACAUUAACUUGUCAAGUUAAAAUUAUUAUUAUAAUAAUAUUUCUUAA
rnacentral:tRNA from 1 species